rnacentral:misc_RNA from 1 species
UUUUUAUCCUUUUUCUCUACUUCAGGGCUAGUUGUCAUGUUUGGACUUAGAGAUUUUUUUGAUAAUUGAAAGAAUACUGUAAAUUUUUUUCCCAUGUAAAAGUCGUUUAGUAGGACUUGCGUUGAAAUGAAAUAAUUCUAUAAAUUUUUUUACCAUGUAGAAUUUGCUCUGCAGGGGGACCUCAGGGCUAGUUUCCCAACAGGGUGCCCAGGGAUUUUACCUUGUAGGAUUUGUCCCCCAAGGGAGGACUUGACUUCAGGGCUAGUUUUAUGCUACAGCCAAGGACCAUAUUUUUGUGUUACACUUUCAGCUUCCCAGCUAUGACACCUUCAGCACAAGGAGAAAGUCCCCG